GCGAACGGGUGAGUAACACGUGGGCAAUCUGCCCUUCACUCUGGGACAAGCCCUGGAAACGGGGUCUAAUACCGGAUGAUACUUCCACUCGCAUGGGUGGGGGUUGAAAGCUCCGGCGGUGAAGGAUGAGCCCGCGGCCUAUCAGCUUGUUGGUGAGGUAGUGGCUCACCAAGGCGACGACGGGUAGCCGGCCUGAGAGGGCGACCGGCCACACUGGGACUGAGACACGGCCCAGACUCCUACGGGAGGCAGCAGUGGGGAAUAUUGCACAAUGGGCGAAAGCCUGAUGCAGCGACGCCGCGUGAGGGAUGACGGCCUUCGGGUUGUAAACCUCUUUCAGCAGGGAAGAAGCGAAAGUGACGGUACCUGCAGAAGAAGCGCCGGCUAACUACGUGCCAGCAGCCGCGGUAAUACGUAGGGCGCAAGCGUUGUCCGGAAUUAUUGGGCGUAAAGAGCUCGUAGGCGGUCUGUCGCGUCGGAUGUGAAAGCCCGGGGCUUAACCCCGGGUCUGCAUUCGAUACGGGCAGACUAGAGUGUGGUAGGGGAGAUCGGAAUUCCUGGUGUAGCGGUGAAAUGCGCAGAUAUCAGGAGGAACACCGGUGGCGAAGGCGGAUCUCUGGGCCAUUACUGACGCUGAGGAGCGAAAGCGUGGGGAGCGAACAGGAUUAGAUACCCUGGUA
rnacentral:rRNA from 1 species